AGUCUUAUAGUCAUAUUUAUGAUAUUAAAUUGCAAAUUUAAAGGAAAAUUAAGUUUUAAGGCUU
rnacentral:tRNA from 2 species